GAUUUUUGAUAUUUUUAUAAUUAUAUAAAAUGUAAAUAUUGUUAAUUUAUUAUUUAACUGCUGCUGUAUUAGGUAGUUAACCAGUCAUAAGUAUCCUGCAAACGCACCAAUUUUUAACCACAGAACCAGUCGUACAAAUCUCUUAAAACCGCUAGAAACCGCAACCACCCGCAUCCGUAAACGCCCACAGCCGCAACCGCUGCGUUUGAACCAGUCAGACCCUUAAUUGCAGGUCAUUUAUUUUGCAGGUUGUACUGCAUUUUUUGUCCAUUCACCCUUUUAAAUUUUUGUCCAUUCACCCUUUUAAAUGCAGAUCAUUAAUAUGCAUUACAAUCUGCAUGAAGAUUUUUAUUAUAAAAGAAAUUUAUUGAUAUGCAAAAAGUAAGAGGUGGGAAAAAUGCAGAUGGCCAAUCAUGUAGUUUUUUUUCCUUGUUUUUUAUAAAUAGUUUAUUUAUCUCAUUUCAUUUAUUUUCAAACAGAACACCAAACCUCUCAUAAUUAUUGUUAAUAUUUAGACCAUUUUUGUUUUAUAUCAUAACUUAACUUUUGGAAAUUAUUUAUAAAAUUAAUAUAUAAAAUAUGUAGUGUAUUAUUUAUAUCUUAUUUUCUAUGAAAUGGUUUAUAAAAUAGUAUAUUUUUGUUUACAUAUUACACCUUUAAUACAAUUUAUUUGCAAUAAAUAGUAAUGCAUAAAAUAAUAAUAUAUUAAGGUUGUACAUUCAUAUUUUUAUAAAAUAGUUGCAGUUUGUUAUACAUGUUAUUUUUUUAUCCUUUUCAAAUUUGUGAUCAAUAAAAAUCAUGUAUUAUAUAUUCCAACAGUAAUAAAUAUUUUAUAUAAAUUAGUUUAAUCAAUUUAUGGGCAAAGGUCAUCUGGAGUCCUAGAAGUAUACCCCGACAGAGUUUUCAUGCUUGGCUGGUAGUCCAGAACAGGAUCCCCACUCGCGACCGCUUGAUCUCUUGGGGUCUCCAAGUACCAUCGCUUUGUCUUCUUUGUAACCAAACGGAUGAAUCGAGAGAUCAUCUUUACUGGGAUUGUGGCUACGCUUUUGAAUUGUGGAAUCGCGUUGCGGGAAGAUGUGGGAUCGUACCACAAAGAAGUUGGGACAACUCCCUCAAUCAGAUGUUAUCGCUCUCACCGGUGGCUUCGACUAUGCGAUCACUGACUCUCCUUGGGUGGCAGGCAUGCUUCUAUUGGAUUUGGAAUGAGAGAAACAACCGCCUGCAUGCAAAUCAAUUCCGAUCACUUGAUUCAUUGUUCUCUAUUAUUGAUCACCAGAUAAGAAACAAAAUACAGAGUUUCAGAGAAACUAACCCGAGGCGUUCUUCACAAAUGAUGCAGCGGUGGUUUGGGUAAAGAGGGAUUGAAUCAUAAACUGGCUUCAUGUCUUUUUCAGGCUCGGGGUCGGGAACCUUCCAUUGUCGUCUGAAAUCAUCGUUCAUCGUGUCUCAUCACCAUCUCUUCUCUCAUUAACAGGCUUAGGACAAAUGUGGGCUAAGGUCAAAUUGUAUGGGUUUGGGUUCUACUAGAUGAGUUUUAAAUUGGGCUUCGGCUCUAACACUAGAGCCAUUGGGCUUUUGUAAUCUUUUGUUUCUUCUGUUUUUAAUAUAAGUAAGCCAGUUACAAAAAAAAAAAAAAAUUUAUGUAUAUACUUUCAUAUUUGAUCAUUUAUAUUAAUUGCAUAAAAUUAUAAAUGUUAUAGGUUAUUUAUAAUUACUUAAUAUCAAUAAAAUAUCAAACAUAUUUUUUUGUUCUUACAUAUACAUGUAUGUAUUUUUUAUAUUUUAAAGUUUCAAAUGAAGAUUUUUUAUACAGUAACAUAUAUAAAAUUGAUAAUAUUAGUUAUAUAGUUGAACCAAAUGGUAAGAAACAACUGAAAGUCGAAUAGAGAUACAAACAAUAAGAGAAAAACAAAAAUAUUCUUUAUAAUUUUGUAAUUGUGAUGAAUUUUCAUAUAAUUUAUAAUUUCAGCAUAUUUAUUAGAAUGAUGGUAUUUAUUUUUAUUUUUUCAACAUGAUAUUUAUUACUUAUUUACAAUAAGUUGCAUUUUGUUUAUAUAUUUAUUUUUCAUUUAAAAAAUUCAACAUUUUUAUUACACUAGCUUGAUAUGCAUGAUCUGCAUUUGUUCUAAUUGAUUUACAUUUGUUUUGUUUGAUCUGCAUUUUUGUUUGAUCUGCAUUUGUUGGACCUAAUCUUUAUUUUGUGAUCUAUAUUAUUAAGAAAGAGACAUUAUGUUGGACCUAACAUUUAUUUUAUAAGUUUUUAAAUUAAAUACAGAUUCUACUUUAUGGUUAAACCUACAUUAGAUCAUUAAUCUAUAUUAUUAAAAGUGAAGUCUUUUUUAAUUUUGUUUGGAAACAUGAAUAACAAUAUAAAUGAGAAUUGUUUGGAAACAUUGAUAGCAGAAUAAAAAAAAGUAUAAUGUCAUUUUAGUAACUUUAUUAAUAUAAUUAUAUUAAUUGACUUUUCAUAUUUCACUCAUUUCAACAAUUUCAUGAAUUAUAUUACAUUAACAAUACAUCACAUCAUUAAUUAUAUUACCAUAAUAAUAAUAGUGCAGAUUUUCAUUUAUUAGUUAAUCAGCAUUACCUUUGUACCAAUUAUAAAA